ensembl:ncRNA Y51A2D.28 ncRNA
AGGCUUAGGCUUUGGUUUAGGCUUAGGCUUAGGCUUAGGCUUAGGCUUAGUCUUAGGCUUCAGCUAAGGCUUAGAUUUAGGCGUAGGCUUUGGCUUAGGCUUAGGCUUAGGGAUAGUCUUAGGCUCAGGCUUAGGCUGUGGUUUAGGCUUAGGCUCAGGCUUAGAUUUAGGCUUAGGCUUAGGCUUAAGCUAAUGCUUAGAUUUAGGCGUAGGCUUUGGCUUAGGCUUAGGCUUAGGGAUAGUCUUAGGCUUAGGCUUAGGCUUAGGCUUAGGCUUAGGCUUAGGCUUAGGCUUAGA